CAGAUCUCUUGGAGUGAAGGCUGUUAGUCGCCGCUAAAGGGAAGAGCUCUCCAACGGGCCCACCCACCUGUCUUAAGGCCUGCAAUCUCAACUCAGGAGGUACUGGGAAUGGUCUGUCCCUGCUCCGGGCUGUUGCUGGCUGUGGGCGGCAUGCCACCCAGGUGCCAAGGUAGAACCCUGGAAGAAGAGGAAGAGGAAGGCAAAGGAGUCAGGGAUGGCUCUUCCUCAGGAAAAACAACUCAAAAACCAUGUUUUCCUCUGCUCUCACACCAACACCACAAUCCACACAGAAGACUUCUGUGGCCAAAUGCGAGGGGUUUCUCCCCACCAACAAACAGCAAGCAACCAACUGGCUGUCCUCCAGUUCAGUUCCAACACUGUCUGCAUGAAGAUAGUGUCAGAUCUCACAGAUUGAUGGCUCAGUUCCCAGUUGCAUGUCCAGGCCUCUGAAACUUCUGACCGACCAACUUCAAGUUGAAGUUCCCAUGAACCCUUCUUUGGGUUGGAUUUAUUUGCUGGAGCAACUCUUAGAGGUCAGAGAAACACUCAGUUUUACUGGUUGAUUAUAAAUACUAUUACAGAAGAUACCAGUGAAGAGAUGCAUAAGGUGAGGUAUGGGGAAAGGGGCGCAGAGCUUCCCUGCCCU
rnacentral:lncRNA from 1 species